GCAGCAGCCGCGGGAAAACGGAGGGUGCAAGCGUUAUCCGGAUUUAUUGGGUUUAAAGGGUCCGUAGGCGGAUCUGUAAGUCAGUGGUGAAAUCUCACAGCUUAACUGUGAAACUGCCAUUGAUACUGCAGGUCUUGAGUAAAUUUGAAGUGGCUGGAAUAAGUAGUGUAGCGGUGAAAUGCAUAGAUAUUACUUAGAACACCAAUUGCGAAGGCAGGUCACUAAGAUUUAACUGACGCUGAUGGACGAAAGCGUGGGGAGCGAACAGGAUUAGAUACCCGAGUAGUCCCUGUCUCUUAUAC
rnacentral:rRNA from 1 species